rnacentral:rRNA from 1 species
GGAAGUGAGUCCAGCGCCGGGGCUCCACCCGUUCCCAUCCCGAACACGGCCGUGACACCCGGCAGCGCCGAUGGUACUGCCCAGCGCGGGAGAGUAGGUCCUCGCUUCCU